CCUACGGGAGGCUGCAGUGGGGAAUAUUGGACAAUGGGCGAAAGCCUGAUCCAGCCAUGCCGCGUGUGUGAAGAAGGCCUUCGGGUUGUAAAGCACUUUCAGUGGGGAAGAAAGCCUUGGGGCUAAUACCCUCGAGGAAGGACAUCACCCACAGAAGAAGCACCGGCUAACUCCGUGCCAGCAGCCGCGGUAAUACGGAGGGUGCGAGCGUUAAUCGGAAUUACUGGGCGUAAAGCGCGCGUAGGCGGUCUGAUAAGCCGGUUGUGAAAGCCCCGGGCUCAACCUGGGAACGGCAUCCGGAACUGUCAGGCUAGGGUGCAGGAGAGGAAGGUAGAAUUCCCGGUGUAGCGGUGAAAUGCGUAGAGAUCGGGAGGAAUACCAGUGGCGAAGGCGGCCUUCUGGACUGACACUGACGCUGAGGUGCGAAAGCGUGGGUAGCAAACAGGAUUAGAUACCCCAGUAGUC
rnacentral:rRNA from 1 species